rnacentral:tRNA from 1 species
AUUUCACCCUUUGACAUCACCAUGCACUGCCAUUAAUAUGCGCCCCGUUCACACGAUUCCUCUGUAGUUCAGUCGGUAGAACGGCGGACUGUUAAUCCGUAUGUCACUGGUUCGAGUCCAGUCAGAGGAGCCAAAUUCAAAAAAGCCUGCUUUCUAG